CAGCAGCCGCGGGAAUACGUAGGUGGCAAGCGUUGUCCGGAAUUACUGGGCGUAAAGCGUGCGCAGGCGGUUUUGUAAGACAGGCGUGAAAUCCCCGGGCUCAACCUGGGAAUGGCGCUUGUGACUGCAAAGCUAGAGUGCGGCAGAGGGGGAUGGAAUUCCGCGUGUAGCAGUGAAAUGCGUAGAUAUGCGGAGGAACACCGAUGGCGAAGGCAAUCCCCUGGGCCUGCACUGACGCUCAUGCACGAAAGCGUAGGGAGCAAACAGGAUUAGAUACCCGCGUAGUCCCUGUCUCUUAUAC
rnacentral:rRNA from 1 species